rnacentral:misc_RNA from 1 species
ACAAGCAAAAAACUGGGUCUAGUAGCGCCUGCAUAGCUUCCAAUCAUUAUAUCUUUCUUGAAAAAUCCGCAGAGAGAGAUGCAACACAAAUAAUUAUUAUAAGGAAACCCAAUUCUAGUUUACAGCAUAACAGAAACUUUGCUGAGAUUGAUUAGCAGUUCCUGUUAUUGUUGUUGCUCAAAUUUAUCACACAGCAAAACAUAUGCAAGUUUUGGCCGGUAUUAACAAGAUAAUCACGGGAAAUAGUUAUUAAUUUGCUGAAAUUAUCGAUUUUUGAUUACUUGAAUCAAGCCUUAAAGCAUCAGCAUUGCAUUGGAAUUGUUUGAAACGGCAGAAUGAUGCAGGAAAACAUAGGACAUAAGUAUAUAAAGCAAUAGGUGUUAAAAGACAAACAAAAAUAUCAAAAUCCACAAAAUGAUGCGUAGCCACUCAC